rnacentral:tRNA from 2 species
GCACGCGUAGCCAAGACGGGUAAGGCGUAGGUCUGCAAAACCUAUCAUCGUCGGUUCGAUUCCGACCGUGUGCU